rnacentral:rRNA from 1 species
UCGAGGAUCUUCGGCAAUGGGCGCAAGCCUGACCGAGCGACGCCGCGUGUGCGAUGAAGGCCUUCGGGUUGUAAAGCACUGUCGAGGGGGAGAAAGCCGCAAGGUUGAUCGACCCCUGGAGGAAGCACGGGCUAAGUUCGUGCCAGCAGCCGCGGUAAGACGAACCGUGCGAACGUUGUUCGGAUUCACUGGGCUUAAAGGGCGCGUAGGCGGGUGAUCAAGUCCGGGGUGAAAUCCUCCAGCUCAACUGGAGAAUAGCCUUGGAUACUGGUCGCCUCGAGGGAGGUAGGGGCGGGCGGAACUUCCGGUGGAGCGGUGAAAUGCGUAGAUAUCGGAAGGAACGCCGGUGGCGAAAGCGGCCCGCUGGACCUCUUCUGACGCUGAGGCGCGAAAGCCAGGGGAGCAAACGGGAUUAGAUACCCCCGUAGUCC